AUUGAACGCUGGCGGCAGGCUUAACACAUGCAAGUCGAGCGGGGAAGGUUGCUUCGGUAACUAACCUAGCGGCGGACGGGUGAGUAAUGCUUAGGAAUCUGCCUAUUAGUGGGGGACAACAUUCCGAAAGGAAUGCUAAUACCGCAUACGCCCUACGGGGGAAAGCAGGGGAUCUUCGGACCUUGCGCUAAUAGAUGAGCCUAAGUCGGAUUAGCUAGUUGGUGGGGUAAAGGCCUACCAAGGCGACGAUCUGUAGCGGGUCUGAGAGGAUGAUCCGCCACACUGGGACUGAGACACGGCCCAGACUCCUACGGGAGGCAGCAGUGGGGAAUAUUGGACAAUGGGCGGAAGCCUGAUCCAGCCAUGCCGCGUGUGUGAAGAAGGCCUUUUGGUUGUAAAGCACUUUAAGCGAGGAGGAGGCUCCUUUAGUUAAUACCUAAAGUGAGUGGACGUUACUCGCAGAAUAAGCACCGGCUAACUCUGUGCCAGCCGCCGCCGUAAUAC
rnacentral:rRNA from 1 species